AACGAACGCUGGCGGCAGGCUUAACACAUGCAAGUCGAACGCAUCGCAAGAUGAGUGGCAGACGGGUGAGUAACGCGUGGGAACAUACCCUUUUCUACGGAAUAGCUCUGGGAAACUGGAAUUAAUACCGUAUACGCCCUACGGGGGAAAGAUUUAUCGGGGAAGGAUUGGCCCGCGUUGGAUUAGCUAGUUGGUGGGGUAAAGGCCUACCAAGGCGACGAUCCAUAGCUGGUCUGAGAGGAUAAUCAGCCACAUUGGGACUGAGACACGGCCCAAACUCCUACGGGAGGCAGCAGUGGGGAAUAUUGGACAAUGGGCGCAAGCCUGAUCCAGCAAUGCCGCGUGAGUGAAGAAGGCCUUCGGGUUGUAAAGCUCUUUCGAUGGGGACGAUGAUGACGGUACCCAUAGAAGAAGCCCCGGCAAACUUCGUGCCAGCAGCCGCCGUAACAC
rnacentral:rRNA from 1 species